GUUACGGCGGUCAUAGCGUGGGGGAAACGCCCGGUUCCAUUCCGAACCCGGAAGCUAAGGCCCACAGCGCCGAUGGUACUGCAACCGGGAGGUUGUGGGAGAGUAGGUCGCCGCCGGACAA
rnacentral:rRNA from 1 species